CACAGAAGACAACGGCGAGAAGACGAGCAAAGCAGUAAGUGGAAAGGUUAUUGUUUAAUUUUACUUUGUCCGUUUUCAGUGCGUCAUUUGGUUAGGCCAUGUAGUUCAGGCGCAAGUAAAUAACAUUUCCACUUACUUUGCUCGUUUUCUCGCUGUUGUCUUCUGUG